rnacentral:rRNA from 1 species
UACGUAGGGGGCAAGCGUUGUCCGGAAUCAUUGGGCGUAAAGCGCGUGUAGGCGGCCCGGUAAGUCCGCUGUGAAAGUCCAGGGCUCAACCCUGGGAUGCCGGUGGAUACUGUCGGGCUCGAGUCCGGAAGAGGAGUGUGGAAUUCCCGGUGUAGCGGUGAAAUGCGUAGAUAUCAGGAGGAACACCGGUGGUGUAGACGGCUUUCUGGACCGUAACUGACGCUGAGACACGAAAGCGUGGGUAGCAAACAGG